UUAAGUUAAUAAGGGCGCACGGUGGAUGCCUUGGCACUAGGAGCCGACGAAGGACGUGGCAAACGACGAUAUGCCUUGGGUAGCUGUAAGUAAGCGAUGAUCCAGGGAUUUCCGAAUGGGGGAACCCAACAGGUAGUACCUGUUACCCACAUCUGUUAAGGAUGUGAGGAGGAAGACGCAGUGAACUGAAACAUCUAAGUAGCUGCAGGAAGAGAAAGCAAAAGCGAUUGCCUUAGUAGCGGCGAGCGAAACGGCAGGAGGGCAAACCGAAGAGUUUACUCUUCGGGGUUGUAGGACUGCAAUGUGGACUCAAAGAUUAUAGAAGAAUGAUUUGGGAAGAUCAGCCAAAGAGAGUAAUAGCCUCGUAUUUAAAAUAGUCUUUGUACCUAGCAGUAUCCUGAGUACGGCGGGACACGUGAAAUCCCGUCGGAAUCUGGGAGGACCAUCUCCCAACCCUAAAUACUCCCUAGUGACCGAUAGUGAACCAGUACCGUGAGGGAAAGGUGAAAAGCACCCCGGGAGGGGAGUGAAAUAGAACCUGAAACCGUGUGCCUACAACAAGUUCGAGCCCGUUAAUGGGUGAGAGCGUGCCUUUUGUAGAAUGAACCGGCGAGUUACGUUAUGAUGCGAGGUUAAGUUGAAGAGACGGAGCCGUAGGGAAACCGAGUCUGAAUAGGGCGCCUUAGUAUCAUGACGUAGACCCGAAACCAUGUGACCUACCCAUGAGCAGGUUGAAGGUGCGGUAAGACGCACUGGAGGACCGAACCAGGGCACGUUGAAAAGUGCUUGGAUGACUUGUGGGUAGCGGAGAAAUUCCAAACGAACUUGGAGAUAGCUGGUUCUCUCCGAAAUAGCUUUAGGGCUAGCGUCGACAUUAGAGAUUCUUGGAGGUAGAGCACUGUUUGGGUGAGGGGUCCAUCCCGGAUUACCAAUCUCAGAUAAACUCCGAAUGCCAAUGAAUUAUGGUCGGCAGUCAGACUGCGAGUGCUAAGAUCCGUAGUCGAAAGGGAAACAGCCCAGACCACCAGCUAAGGUCCCAAAAUAAUUGUUAAGUGGAAAAGGAUGUGGGGUUGCACAGACAACUAGGAUGUUAGCUUAGAAGCAGCUAUUCAUUCAAAGAGUGCGUAAUAGCUCACUAGUCGAGUGACCCUGCGCCGAAAAUGUACCGGGGCUAAAACAAUUUACCGAAGCUGUGGAUACCUUUAUAGGUAUGGUAGGAGAGCGUUCUAUGUGUGAUGAAGGUAUACCGUGAGGAGUGCUGGAACGCAUAGAAGUGAGAAUGCCGGUAUGAGUAGCGAAAGACAGGUGAGAAUCCUGUCCACCGUAAGACUAAGGUUUCCAGGGGAAGGCUCGUCCGCCCUGGGUUAGUCGGGACCUAAGGAGAGACCGAAAGGUGUAUCCGAUGGACAACAGGUUGAUAUUCCUGUACUAGAGUAUGUAGUGAUGGAGGGACGCAGUAGGCUAACUAAAGCAGACGAUUGGAAGAGUCUGUCUAAGCAGUGAGGUGUGAAUUGAGUCAAAUGCUUAAUUCUAUAACAUUGAGCUGUGAUGGGGAGCGAAGUUUAGUAGCGAAGUUAGUGACGUCACACUGCCAAGAAAAGCUUCUAGCGUUUAAACAUACUCUACCCGUACCGCAAACCGACACAGGUAGUCGAGGCGAGUAGCCUCAGGUGAGCGAGAGAACUCUCGUUAAGGAACUCGGCAAAAUGACCCCGUAACUUCGGGAGAAGGGGUGCUGACUUAAAGUCAGCCGCAGUGAAUAGGCCCAAGCAACUGUUUAUCAAAAACACAGCUCUCUGCUAAAUCGUAAGAUGAUGUAUAGGGGGUGACGCCUGCCCGGUGCUGGAAGGUUAAGAGGAGUGCUUAGCGUAAGCGAAGGUAUGAAUUGAAGCCCCAGUAAACGGCGGCCGUAACUAUAACGGUCCUAAGGUAGCGAAAUUCCUUGUCGGGUAAGUUCCGACCCGCACGAAAGGCGUAAUGAUUUGGGCACUGUCUCAACGAGAGACUCGGUGAAAUUUUAGUACCUGUGAAGAUGCAGGUUACCCGCGACAGGACGGAAAGACCCCAUGGAGCUUUACUGCAGUUUGAUAUUGAGUGUCUGUACCACAUGUACAGGAUAGGUAGGAGUCUAAGAAAUCGGGACGCCAGUUUCGAAGGAGACGCUGUUGGGAUACUACCCUUGUGUUAUGGCCACUCUAACCCAGAUAGGUGAUCCCUAUCGGAGACAGUGUCUGACGGGCAGUUUGACUGGGGCGGUCGCCUCCUAAAAGGUAACGGAGGCGCCCAAAGGUUCCCUCAGAAUGGUUGGAAAUCAUUCGCAGAGUGUAAAGGUAUAAGGGAGCUUGACUGCGAGAGCUACAACUCGAGCAGGGACGAAAGUCGGGCUUAGUGAUCCGGUGGUUCCGUAUGGAAGGGCCAUCGCUCAACGGAUAAAAGCUACCCUGGGGAUAA
rnacentral:rRNA from 1 species